rnacentral:rRNA from 1 species
AUUGAACGCUGGCGGCAUGCCUUACACAUGCAAGUCGAACGGUAGAGGGGGCGACCCCUUGAGAGUGGCGAACGGGUGAGUAAAGCAUCGGAACGUGCCCAGUAGGGGGGGAUAGCCCGGCGAAAGCCGGAUUAAUACCGCAUACGACCUACGGGUGAAAGGGGGGGAUCGCAAGACCUCUCGCUAUUGGAGCGGCCGAUGUCAGAUUAGGUAGUUGGUGGGGUAAAGGCCUACCAAGCCGACGAUCUGUAGCUGGUCUGAGAGGACGACCAGGCACACUGGGACUGAGACACGGCCCAGACUCCUACGGGAGGCAGCAGUGGGGAAUUUUGGACAAUGGGCGCAAGCCUGAUCCAGCCAUGCCGCGUGCGGGAAGAAGGCCUUCGGGUUGUAAACCGCUUUUGUCAGGGAAGAAAUCCUUUGAGCUAAUACCUCGGGGGGAUGACGGUACCUGAAGAAUAAGCACCGGCUAACUACGUGCCAGCAGCCGCGGUAACAC